UACGGGGGGGGCAAGCGUUGUUCGGAAUUACUGGGCGUAAAGGGCUCGUAGGCGGCCAACUAAGUCAUACGUGAAAUCCCUCGGCUUAACCGGGGAACUGCGUCUGAUACUGGAUGGCUUGAGUUCGGGAGAGGGAUGCGGAAUUCCUGGUGUAGCGGUGGAAUGCGCAGAUAUCAGGAGGAACACCAAUAGCGAAGGCAGCUCGCUGGGACGUUACUGACACUGAGGCGCGAAAGCGUGGGGAGCGAACAGG
rnacentral:rRNA from 1 species